UACAGAGGGUGCAAGCGUUAAUCGGAUUUACUGGGCGUAAAGCGCGCGUAGGCGGCUAAUUAAGUCAAAUGUGAAAUCUCCGAGCUUAACUUGGGAAUUGCAUUCGAUACUGGUUAGCUAGAGUGUGGGAGAGGAUGGUAGAAUUCCAGGUGUAGCGGUGAAAUGCGUAGAGAUCUGGAGGAAUACCGAUGGCGAAGGCAGCCAUCUGGCCUAACACUGACGCUGAGGUGCGAAAGCAUGGGGAGCAAACAGG
rnacentral:rRNA from 1 species